rnacentral:rRNA from 1 species
AUACGGAGGACGCGAGCGUUAUCCGGAUUCAUUGGGUUUAAAGGGUGCGCAGGCGGCCGUGCAAGUCAGCGGUGAAAGCCCGGGGCUCAACCCCGGAAGUGCCGUUGAUACUGCAUAGCUGGAAUGCGGUCGAGGCGGGCGGGACGGGGGGUGGUGCGGGGGAAUGCGGAGAUAUGCCACAGAACGGCGAUAGCGGAGGCAGCUCGCCAGGCCUGCAUUGACGCUCGGGCACGAAAGCGUGGGGAUCGAACAGGAUUAGAUACCCUGGUAGUCCACGCAGUAAACGAUGAUGGCUAACCGCUGGGCUUAUCAGUUCAGUGGCCAAGCGAAAGCGAUAAGCCAUCCACCUGGGGAGUACGACCGCAAGGUUGAAACUCAAAUGAAUUGACGGGG